AACCUGAAUGCUCAAAAACACUCCCAAACAUGUUCUAUGCUCUAAUUAGGAAGAUUGCAUGCGUUCGUUGCGAAAAAAUCCACCCGAGUUUCGCUACCCGGAAAUAGUGCAUUCGGGUGCCGAAAUGCACCCAUUUUGCAUCGUUUUUCGUGCCGGAACCGAAUGCUCAAAAACACUCCCAAACAUGUUCUAGUGUAUAGUUAGGAAGAUUGCAUGCGUUCGUUGCGAAAAAAUCCACCUGAGUUUCGCUACCCGGAAAUAGUGCAUUCGGGUGCCGAAAUGCACCCGUUUUGCAUCGUUUUUCGUUUCGGAACUGAAUGCUCAAAAACACUCCCAAACAUGUUCUAGUGUAUAGUUAGGAAGAUUGCAUGUGUUCGUUGCGAAAAAAUCCACCCGAGUUUCGCUACCCGGAAUAGUGCAUUCGGGUGCCGAAAUGCACCCGCUUUGCAUCGUUUUUCGUGCGGAACCGAAUGCUCAAAAACACUCCCAAACAUGUUCUAGUGUAUAGUUAGGAAGAUUGCAUGCGUUCGUUGCGAAAAAAUCCACCCGAGUUUCGCUACCCGGAAAUAGUGCAUUCGGGUGCCGAAAUGCACCCGUUUUGCAUCGUUUUUCAUGCCGGAACCGAAUGCUCAAAAACACUCCCAAACAUGUUCUAGUGUAUAGUUAGGAAGAUUGCUUGCGUUCGUUGCGAAAAAAUCCACCCGAGUUUCGCUACCCGGAAAUAGUACAUUCGGGUGCCGAAAUGCACCCGUUUUGCAUCGUUUUUCGUGCCGGAACCGAAUGCUCAAAAACACUCCCAAACAUGUUCUAGUGUAUAGUUAGGAAGAUUGUAUGCGUUCGUUGCGAAAACAUCCACCCGAGUUUUGCUACCCGGAAAUAGUGCAUUCGGGUGCCGAAAUGCACCCGUUUUGCAUCGUUUUUCGUUCCGGAACCGAAUGCUCAAAAACACUCCCAAACAUGUUCUAGUGUAUAGUUAGGAAGAUUGCAUGCGUUCGUUGCGAAAACAUCCACCCGAGUUUCGCUACCCGGAAAUAGUGCAUUCGGGUGCCGAAAUGCACCCGUUUUGCAUCGUUUUUCGUGCCGGAACCGAAUGCUCAAAAACACUCCCAAACAUGUUCUAGUGUAUAGUUAGGAAGAUUGCAUGCGUUCGUUGCGAAAACAUCCACCCGAGUUUCGCUACCCGGAAAUAGUGCAUUCGGGUGCCGAAAUGCACCCAUUUUGCAUCGUUUUUCGUGCCGGAACCGAAUGCUCAAAAACACUCCCAAACAUGUUCUAGUGUAUAGUUAGGAAGAUUGCAUGCGUUCGUUGCGAAAACAUCCACCCGAGUUUCGCUACCCGGAAAUAGUGCAUUCGGGUGCCGAAAUGCACCCGUUUUGCAUCGUUUUUCAUGCCGGAACCGAAUGCUCAAAAACACUCCCAAACAUGUUCUAGUGUAUAGUUAGGAAGAUUGCUUGCGUUCGUUGCGAAAAAAUCCACCCUGAGUUUCGCUACCCGGAAAUAGUGCAUUCGGGUGCCGAAAUGCACCCGUUUUGCAUCGUUUUUCGUGCCGGAACCGAAUACUCAAAAACACUCCCAAACAUGUUCUAGUGUAUAGUUAGGAAGAUUGUAUGCGUUCGUUGCGAAAACAUCCACCCGAGUUUCGCUACCCGGAAAUAGUGCAUUCGGGUGCCGAAAUGCACCCGUUUUGCAUCGUUUUUCGUGCCGGAACCGAAUACUCAAAAACACUCCCAAACAUGUUCUAGUGUAUAGUUAGGAAGAUUGUAUGCGUUCGUUGCGAAAACAUCCACCCGAGUUUUGCUACCCGGAAAUAGUGCAUUCGGGUGCCGAAAUGCACCCGUUUUGCAUCGUUUUUCGUUCCGGAACCGAAUGCUCAAAAACACUCCCAAACAUGUUCUAGUGUAUAGUUAGGAAGAUUGCAUGCGUUCGUUGCGAAAACAUCCACCCGAGUUUCGCUACCCGGAAAUAGUGCAUUCGGGUGCCGAAAUGCACCCGUUUUGCGUCGUUUUUCGUGCCGGAACCGAAUGCUCAAAAACACUCCCAAACAUGUUCUAGUGUAUAGUUAGGAAGAUUGCAUGCGUUCGUUGCGAAAACAUCCACCCGAGUUUCGCUACCCGGAAAUAGUGCAUUCGGGUGCCGAAAUGCACCCAUUUUGCAUCGUUUUUCGUGCCGGAACCGAAUGCUCAAAAACACUCCCAAACAUGUUCUAGUGUAUAGUUAGGAAGAUUGCAUGCGUUCGUUGCGAAAACAUCCACCCGAGUUUCGCUACCCGGAAAUAGUGCAUUAGGGUGCCAAAAUGCACCCGUUUUGCAUCGUUUUUCGUGCCGGAACCGAAUGCUCAAAAACACUCCCAAACAUGUUCUAGUGUAUAGUUAGGAAGAUUGCAUGCGUUCGUUGCGAAAAAAUCCACCUGAGUUUCGCUACCCGGAAAUAGUGCAUUCGGGUGCCGAAAUGCACCCGUUUUGCAUCGUUUUUCGUUUCGGAACUGAAUGCUCAAAAACACUCCCAAACAUGUUCUAGUGUAUAGUUAGGAAGAUUGCAUGUGUUCGUUGCGAAAAAAUCCACCCGAGUUUCGCUACCCGGAAUAGUGCAUUCGGGUGCCGAAAUGCACCCGCUUUGCAUCGUUUUUCGUGUCGGAACCGAAUGCUCAAAAACACUCCCAAACAUGUUCUAGUGUAUAGUUAGGAAGAUUGCAUGCUUUCGUUGCGAAAAAAUCCACCCGAGUUUCGCUACCCGGAAAUAGUGCAUUCGGGUGCCGAAAUGGACCCGUUUUGCAUCGUUUUUCAUGCCGGAACCGAAUGCUUAAAAACACUCCCAAACAUGUUCUAGUGUAUAGUUAGGAAGAUUGCUUGCGUUCGUUGCGAAAAAAUCCACCCGAGUUUCGCUACCCGGAAAUAGUACAUUCGGGUGCCGAAAUGCACCCGUUUUGCAUCGUUUUUCGUUCCGGAACCGAAUGCUCAAAAACACUCCCAAACAUGUUCUAGUGUAUAGUUAGGAAGAUUGCAUGCGUUCGUUGCGAAAACAUCCACCCGAGUUUCGCUACCCGGAAAUAGUGCAUUCGGGUGCCGAAAUGCACCCGUUUUGCGUCGUUUUUCGUGCCGGAACCGAAUGCUCAAAAACACUCCCAAACAUGUUCUAGUGUAUAGUUAGGAAGAUUGCAUGCGUUCGUUGCGAAAACAUCCACCCGAGUUUCGCUACCCGGAAAUAGUGCAUUCGGGUGCCGAAAUGCACCCAUUUUGCAUCGUUUUUCGUGCCGGAACCGAAUGCUCAAAAACACUCCCAAACAUGUUCUAGUGUAUAGUUAGGAAGAUUGCAUGCGUUCGUUGCGAAAACAUCCACCCGAGUUUCGCUACCCGGAAAUAGUGCAUUCGGGUGCCGAAAUGCACCCGUUUUGCAUCGUUUUUCAUGCCGGAACCGAAUGCUCAAAAACACUCCCAAACAUGUUCUAGUGUAUAGUUAGGAAGAUUGCUUGCGUUCGUUGCGAAAAAAUCCACCUGAGUUUCGCUACCCGGAAAUAGUGCAUUCGGGUGCCGAAAUGCACCCGUUUUGCAUCGUUUUUCGCGCCGGAACCGAAUACUCAAAAACACUCCCAAACAUGUUCUAGUGUAUAGUUAGGAAGAUUGUAUGCGUUCGUUGCGAAAACAUCCACCCGAGUUUUGCUACCCGGAAAUAGUGCAUUCGGGUGCCGAAAUGCACCCGUUUUGCAUCGUUUUUCGUUCCGGAACCGAAUGCUCAAAAACACUCCCAAACAUGUUCUAGUGUAUAGUUAGGAAGAUUGCAUGCGUUCGUUGCGAAAACAUCCACCCGAGUUUCGCUACCCGGAAAUAGUGCAUUCGGGUGCCGAAAUGCACCCGUUUUGCGUCGUUUUUCGUGCCGGAACCGAAUGCUCAAAAACACUCCCAAACAUGUUCUAGUGUAUAGUUAGGAAGAUUGCAUGCGUUCGUUGCGAAAACAUCCACCCGAGUUUCGCUACCCGGAAAUAGUGCAUUCGGGUGCCGAAAUGCACCCAUUUUGCAUCGUUUUUCGUGCCGGAACCGAAUGCUCAAAAACACUCCCAAACAUGUUCUAGUGUAUAGUUAGGAAGAUUGCAUGCGUUCGUUGCGAAAACAUCCACCCGAGUUUCGCUACCCGGAAAUAGUGCAUUAGGGUGCCAAAAUGCACCCGUUUUGCAUCGUUUUUCGUGCCGGAACCGAAUGCUCAAAAACACUCCCAAACAUGUUCUAGUGUAUAGUUAGGAAGAUUGCAUGCGUUCGUUGCGAAAAAAUCCACCUGAGUUUCGCUACCCGGAAAUAGUGCAUUCGGGUGCCGAAAUGCACCCGUUUUGCAUCGUUUUUCGUUUCGGAACUGAAUGCUCAAAAACACUCCCAAACAUGUUCUAGUGUAUAGUUAGGAAGAUUGCAUGUGUUCGUUGCGAAAAAAUCCACCCGAGUUUCGCUACCCGGAAUAGUGCAUUCGGGUGCCGAAAUGCACCCGCUUUGCAUCGUUUUUCGUGUCGGAACCGAAUGCUCAAAAACACUCCCAAACAUGUUCUAGUGUAUAGUUAGGAAGAUUGCAUGCUUUCGUUGCGAAAAAAUCCACCCGAGUUUCGCUACCCGGAAAUAGUGCAUUCGGGUGCCGAAAUGGACCCGUUUUGCAUCGUUUUUCAUGCCGGAACCGAAUGCUUAAAAACACUCCCAAACAUGUUCUAGUGUAUAGUUAGGAAGAUUGCUUGCGUUCGUUGCGAAAAAAUCCACCCGAGUUUCGCUACCCGGAAAUAGUACAUUCGGGUGCCGAAAUGCACCCGUUUUGCAUCGUUUUUCGUGCCGGAACCGAAUACUCAAAAACACUCCCAAACAUGUUCUAGUGUAUAGUUAGGAAGAUUGUAUGCGUUCGUUGCGAAAACAUCCACCCGAGUUUUGCUACCCGGAAAUAGUGCAUUCGGGUGCCGAAAUGCACCCGUUUUGCAUCGUUUUUCGUUCCGGAACCGAAUGCUCAAAAACACUCCCAAACAUGUUCUAGUGUAUAGUUAGGAAGAUUGCAUGCGUUCGUUGCGAAAACAUCCACCCGAGUUUCGCUACCCGGAAAUAGUCCAUUCGGGUGCCGAAAUGCACCCGUUUUGCGUCGUUUUUCGUGCCGGAACCGAAUGCUCAAAAACACUCCCAAACAUGUUCUAGUGUAUAGUUAGGAAGAUUGCAUGCGUUCGUUGCGAAAACAUCCACCCGAGUUUCGCUACCCGGAAAUAGUGCAUUCGGGUGCCGAAAUUCACCCAUUUUGCAUCGUUUUUCGUGCCGGAACCGAAUGCUCAAAAACACUCCCAAACAUGUUCUAGUGUAUAGUUAGGAAGAUUGCAUGCGUUCGUUGCGAAAACAUCCACCCGAGUUUCGCUACCCGGAAAUAGUGCAUUCGGGUGCCGAAAUGCACCCGUUUUGCGUCGUUUUUCGUGCCGGAACCGAAUGCUCAAAAACACUCCCAAACAUGUUCUAGUGUAUAGUUAGGAAGAUUGCAUGCGUUCGUUGCGAAAACAUCCACCCGAGUUUCGCUACCCGGAAAUAGUGCAUUCGGGUGCCGAAAUGCACCCAUUUUGCAUCGUUUUUCGUGCCGGAACCGAAUGCUCAAAAACACUCCCAAACAUGUUCUAGUGUAUAGUUAGGAAGAUUGCAUGCGUUCGUUGCGAAAACAUCCACCCGAGUUUCGCUACCCGGAAAUAGUGCAUUAGGGUGCCAAAAUGCACCCGUUUUGCAUCGUUUUUCGUGCCGGAACCGAAUGCUCAAAAACACUCCCAAACAUGUUCUAGUGUAUAGUUAGGAAGAUUGCAUGCGUUCGUUGCGAAAAAAUCCACCUGAGUUUCGCUACCCGGAAAUAGUGCAUUCGGGUGCCGAAAUGCACCCGUUUUGCAUCGUUUUUCGUUUCGGAACUGAAUGCUCAAAAACACUCCCAAACAUGUUCUAGUGUAUAGUUAGGAAGAUUGCAUGUGUUCGUUGCGAAAAAAUCCACCCGAGUUUCGCUACCCGGAAUAGUGCAUUCGGGUGCCGAAAUGCACCCGCUUUGCAUCGUUUUUCGUGUCGGAACCGAAUGCUCAAAAACACUCCCAAACAUGUUCUAGUGUAUAGUUAGGAAGAUUGCAUGCUUUCGUUGCGAAAAAAUCCACCCGAGUUUCGCUACCCGGAAAUAGUGCAUUCGGGUGCCGAAAUGGACCCGUUUUGCAUCGUUUUUCAUGCCGGAACCGAAUGCUUAAAAACACUCCCAAACAUGUUCUAGUGUAUAGUUAGGAAGAUUGCUUGCGUUCGUUGCGAAAAAAUCCACCCGAGUUUCGCUACCCGGAAAUAGUACAUUCGGGUGCCGAAAUGCACCCGUUUUGCAUCGUUUUUCGUGCCGGAACCGAAUACUCAAAAACACUCCCAAACAUGUUCUAGUGUAUAGUUAGGAAGAUUGUAUGCGUUCGUUGCGAAAACAUCCACCCGAGUUUUGCUACCCGGAAAUAGUGCAUUCGGGUGCCGAAAUGCACCCGUUUUGCAUCGUUUUUCGUUCCGGAACCGAAUGCUCAAAAACACUCCCAAACAUGUUCUAGUGUAUAGUUAGGAAGAUUGCAUGCGUUCGUUGCGAAAACAUCCACCCGAGUUUCGCUACCCGGAAAUAGUCCAUUCGGGUGCCGAAAUGCACCCGUUUUGCGUCGUUUUUCGUGCCGGAACCGAAUGCUCAAAAACACUCCCAAACAUGUUCUAGUGUAUAGUUAGGAAGAUUGCAUGCGUUCGUUGCGAAAACAUCCACCCGAGUUUCGCUACCCGGAAAUAGUGCAUUCGGGUGCCGAAAUGCACCCAUUUUGCAUCGUUUUUCGUGCCGGAACCGAAUGCUCAAAAACACUCCCAAACAUGUUCUAGUGUAUAGUUAGGAAGAUUGCAUGCGUUCGUUGCGAAAACAUCCACCCGAGUUUCGCUACCCGGAAAUAGUGCAUUAGGGUGCCAAAAUGCACCCGUUUUGCAUCGUUUUUCGUGCCGGAACCGAAUGCUCAAAAACACUCCCAAACAUGUUCUAGUGUAUAGUUAGGAAGAUUGCAUGCGUUCGUUGCGAAAAAAUCCACCUCAGUUUCGCUACCCGGAAAUAGUGCAUUCGGGUGCCGAAAUGCACCCGUUUUGCAUCGUUUUUCGUUUCGGAACUGAAUGCUCAAAAACACUCCCAAACAUGUUCUAGUGUAUAGUUAGGAAGAUUGCAUGUGUUCGUUGCGAAAAAAUCCACCCGAGUUUCGCUACCCGGAAUAGUGCAUUCGGGUGCCGAAAUGCACCCGCUUUGCAUCGUUUUUCGUGGCGGAACCGAAUGCUCAAAAACACUCCCAAACAUGUUCUAGUGUAUAGUUAGGAAGAUUGCAUGCUUUCGUUGCGAAAAAAUCCACCCGAGUUUCGCUACCCGGAAAUAGUGCAUUCGGGUGCCGAAAUGCACCCGUUUUGCAUCGUUUUUCAUGCCGGAACCGAAUACUCAAAAACACUCCCAAACAUGUUCUAGUGUAUAGUUAGGAAGAUUGCUUGCGUUCGUUGCGAAAAAAUCCACCUGAGUUUCGCUACCCGGAAAUAGUACAUUCGGGUGCCGAAAUGCACCCGUUUUGCAUCGUUUUUCGUGCCGGAACCGAAUACUCAAAAACACUCCCAAACAUGUUCUAGUGUAUAGUUAGGAAGAUUGUAUGCGUUCGUUGCGAAAACAUCCACCCGAGUUUUGCUACCCGGAAAUAGUGCAUUCGGGUGCCGAAAUGCACCCGUUUUGCAUCGUUUUUCGUUCCGGAACCGAAUGCUCAAAAACACUCCCAAACAUGUUCUAGUGUAUAGUUAGGAAGAUUGCAUGCGUUCGUUGCGAAAACAUCCACCCGAGUUUCGCUACCCGGAAUAGUGCAUUCGGGUGCCGAAAUGCACCCGCUUUGCAUCGUUUUUCGUGCCGGAACCGAAUGCUCAAAAACACUCCCAAACAUGUUCUAGUGUAUAGUUAGGAAGAUUGCAUGCUUUCGUUGCGAAAAAAUCCACCCGAGUUUCGCUACCCGGAAAUAGUGCAUUCGGGUGCCGAAAUGGACCCGUUUUGCAUCGUUUUUCAUGCCGGAACCGAAUGCUUAAAAACACUCCCAAACAUGUUCUAGUGUAUAGUUAGGAAGAUUGCUUGCGUUCGUUGCGAAAAAAUCCACCCGAGUUUCGCUACCCGGAAAUAGUACAUUCGGGUGCCGAAAUGCACCCGUUUUGCAUCGUUUUUCGUGCCGGAACCGAAUACUCAAAAACACUCCCAAACAUGUUCUAGUGUAUAGUUAGGAAGAUUGUAUGCGUUCGUUGCGAAAACAUCCACCCGAGUUUUGCUACCCGGAAAUAGUGCAUUCGGGUGCCGAAAUGCACCCGUUUUGCAUCGUUUUUCGUUCCGGAACCGAAUGCUCAAAAACACUCCCAAACAUGUUCUAGUGUAUAGUUAGGAAGAUUGCAUGCGUUCGUUGCGAAAACAUCCACCCGAGUUUCGCUACCCGGAAAUAGUCCAUUCGGGUGCCGAAAUGCACCCGUUUUGCGUCGUUUUUCGUGCCGGAACCGAAUGCUCAAAAACACUCCCAAACAUGUUCUAGUGUAUAGUUAGGAAGAUUGCAUGCGUUCGUUGCGAAAACAUCCACCCGAGUUUCGCUACCCGGAAAUAGUGCAUUCGGGUGCCGAAAUGCACCCAUUUUGCAUCGUUUUUCGUGCCGGAACCGAAUGCUCAAAAACACUCCCAAACAUGUUCUAGUGUAUAGUUAGGAAGAUUGCAUGCGUUCGUUGCGAAAACAUCCACCCGAGUUUCGCUACCCGGAAAUAGUGCAUUAGGGUGCCAAAAUGCACCCGUUUUGCAUCGUUUUUCGUGCCGGAACCGAAUGCUCAAAAACACUCCCAAACAUGUUCUAGUGUAUAGUUAGGAAGAUUGCAUGCGUUCGUUGCGAAAAAAUCCACCUCAGUUUCGCUACCCGGAAAUAGUGCAUUCGGGUGCCGAAAUGCACCCGUUUUGCAUCGUUUUUCGUUUCGGAACUGAAUGCUCAAAAACACUCCCAAACAUGUUCUAGUGUAUAGUUAGGAAGAUUGCAUGCGUUCGUUGCGAAAACAUCCACCCGAGUUUCGCUACCCGGAAUAGUGCAUUCGGGUGCCGAAAUGCACCCGCUUUGCAUCGUUUUUCGUGCCGGAACCGAAUGCUCAAAAACACUCCCAAACAUGUUCUAGUGUAUAGUUAGGAAGAUUGCAUGCUUUCGUUGCGAAAAAAUCCACCCGAGUUUCGCUACCCGGAAAUAGUGCAUUCGGGUGCCGAAAUGGACCCGUUUUGCAUCGUUUUUCAUGCCGGAACCGAAUGCUUAAAAACACUCCCAAACAUGUUCUAGUGUAUAGUUAGGAAGAUUGCUUGCGUUCGUUGCGAAAAAAUCCACCCGAGUUUCGCUACCCGGAAAUAGUACAUUCGGGUGCCGAAAUGCACCCGUUUUGCAUCGUUUUUCGUGCCGGAACCGAAUACUCAAAAACACUCCCAAACAUGUUCUAGUGUAUAGUUAGGAAGAUUGUAUGCGUUCGUUGCGAAAACAUCCACCCGAGUUUUGCUACCCGGAAAUAGUGCAUUCGGGUGCCGAAAUGCACCCGUUUUGCAUCGUUUUUCGUUCCGGAACCGAAUGCUCAAAAACACUCCCAAACAUGUUCUAGUGUAUAGUUAGGAAGAUUGCAUGCGUUCGUUGCGAAAACAUCCACCCGAGUUUCGCUACCCGGAAAUAGUCCAUUCGGGUGCCGAAAUGCACCCGUUUUGCGUCGUUUUUCGUGCCGGAACCGAAUGCUCAAAAACACUCCCAAACAUGUUCUAGUGUAUAGUUAGGAAGAUUGCAUGCGUUCGUUGCGAAAACAUCCACCCGAGUUUCGCUACCCGGAAAUAGUGCAUUCGGGUGCCGAAAUGCACCCAUUUUGCAUCGUUUUUCGUGCCGGAACCGAAUGCUCAAAAACACUCCCAAACAUGUUCUAGUGUAUAGUUAGGAAGAUUGCAUGCGUUCGUUGCGAAAACAUCCACCCGAGUUUCGCUACCCGGAAAUAGUGCAUUAGGGUGCCAAAAUGCACCCGUUUUGCAUCGUUUUUCGUGCCGGAACCGAAUGCUCAAAAACACUCCCAAACAUGUUCUAGUGUAUAGUUAGGAAGAUUGCAUGCGUUCGUUGCGAAAAAAUCCACCUCAGUUUCGCUACCCGGAAAUAGUGCAUUCGGGUGCCGAAAUGCACCCGUUUUGCAUCGUUUUUCGUUUCGGAACUGAAUGCUCAAAAACACUCCCAAACAUGUUCUAGUGUAUAGUUAGGAAGAUUGCAUGUGUUCGUUGCGAAAAAAUCCACCCGAGUUUCGCUACCCGGAAUAGUGCAUUCGGGUGCCGAAAUGCACCCGCUUUGCAUCGUUUUUCGUGGCGGAACCGAAUGCUCAAAAACACUCCCAAACAUGUUCUAGUGUAUAGUUAGGAAGAUUGCAUGCUUUCGUUGCGAAAAAAUCCACCCGAGUUUCGCUACCCGGAAAUAGUGCAUUCGGGUGCCGAAAUGCACCCGUUUUGCAUCGUUUUUCAUGCCGGAACCGAAUACUCAAAAACACUCCCAAACAUGUUCUAGUGUAUAGUUAGGAAGAUUGCUUGCGUUCGUUGCGAAAAAAUCCACCUGAGUUUCGCUACCCGGAAAUAGUACAUUCGGGUGCCGAAAUGCACCCGUUUUGCAUCGUUUUUCGUGCCGGAACCGAAUACUCAAAAACACUCCCAAACAUGUUCUAGUGUAUAGUUAGGAAGAUUGUAUGCGUUCGUUGCGAAAACAUCCACCCGAGUUUUGCUACCCGGAAAUAGUGCAUUCGGGUGCCGAAAUGCACCCGUUUUGCAUCGUUUUUCGUUCCGGAACCGAAUGCUCAAAAACACUCCCAAACAUGUUCUAGUGUAUAGUUAGGAAGAUUGCAUGCGUUCGUUGCGAAAACAUCCACCCGAGUUUCGCUACCCGGAAAUAGUGCAUUCGGGUGCCGAAAUGCACCCGUUUUGCGUCGUUUUUCGUGCCGGAACCGAAUGCUCAAAAACACUCCCAAACAUGUUCUAGUGUAUAGUUAGGAAGAUUGCAUGCGUUCGUUGCGAAAACAUCCACCCGAGUUUCGCUACUCGGAAAUAGUGCAUUCGGGUGCCGAAAUGCACCCAUUUUGCAUCGUUUUUCGUGCCGGAACCGAAUGCUCAAAAACACUCCCAAACAUGUUCUAGUGUAUAGUUAGGAAGAUUGCAUGCGUUCGUUGCGAAAACAUCCACCCGAGUUUCGCUACCCGGAAAUAGUGCAUUAGGGUGCCGAAAUGCACCCGUUUUGCAUCAUUUUUCGUGCCGGAACCGAAUGCUCAAAAACACUCCCAAACAUGUUCUAGUGUAUAGUUAGGAAGAUUGCAUGCGUUCGUUGCGAAAAAAUCCACCUGAGUUUCGCUACCCGGAAAUAGUGCAUUCGGGUGCCGAAAUGCACCCGUUUUGCAUCGUUUUUCGUGCCGGAACCGAAUACUCAAAAACACUCCCAAACAUGUUCUAGUGUAUAGUUAGGAAGAUU
rnacentral:lncRNA from 1 species